CCUACGGGGGGCAGCAGUGAGGAAUAUUGGUCAAUGGACGCAAGUCUGAACCAGCCAUGCCGCGUGAAGGAAGACGGCUCUAUGAGUUGUAAACUGCUUUUGUACGAGGGUAAACGCAGAUACGCGUGUCUUUCUGAAUGUAUCGUACGAAUAAGGAUCGGCUAACUCCGUGCCAGCAGCCGCGGUAAUACGGAGGAUUCAAGCGUUAUCCGGAUUUAUUGGGUUUAAAGGGUGCGUAGGUGGUUGGAUAAGUUAGAUGUGAAAUCCCGGGGCUCAACUUCGGAAUUGCCUUUGAAACUGUCCGUCUAGAGAGUAGUUGAGGUAGGCGGAAUGUAUGGUGUAGCGGUGAAAUGCUUAGAGAUCAUACAGAACACCGAUUGCGAAGGCAGCUUACCAGGCUACAUCUGACGUUGAGGCACGAAAGCGUGGGGAGCAAACAGGAUUAGAUACCCUGGUAGUC
rnacentral:rRNA from 1 species